UAUGGCCAUAUCAUGUUGGAACACCAAUUCUCAUAAAAUCACUAAAGUUAAGCAACAUAAAGCCUGGUCAGUACAUAGAUGGGUGACCACUUGGGAAUAUCAGGUGAUGUAAG